rnacentral:rRNA from 1 species
UAAUACGAAGGGGGCUAGCGUUGUUCGGAAUUACUGGGCGUAAAGCGCAUGUAGGCGGAUAUUUAAGUCAGGGGUGAAAUCCCAGAGCUCAACUCUGGAACUGCCUUUGAUACUGGGUAUCUUGAGUAUGGAAGAGGUAAGUGGAAUUCCGAGUGUAGAGGUGAAAUUCGUAGAUAUUCGGAGGAACACCAGUGGCGAAGGCGGCUUACUGGUCCAUUACUGACGCUGAGGUGCGAAAGCGUGGGGAGCAAACAGG